rnacentral:snRNA from 1 species
GUGCUAGCUUUGGUGGCACAUAUACCCAAACUGGAAUGAUAUGGAGAAGACUAGAACGGCCCCUGCACAAGGAUAACAUGCAAACUUGUGAAGUGUAAAAAAAAAAG